rnacentral:rRNA from 1 species
ACAAUUUUCAGCGACGGAUAUCUUGGCUCGAGCACCUAUGAAGGGCGCAGCGAAGUGCGAUAAUCGUUGUGAAUUGCAGAACUCCGUGAACCAAUGGCCUCUUGAACGUGCAUUGCGCUCUUGGGAUAUGCCUGAGAGCAUGUCUGCUUCAGUGCUUCUAAC